rnacentral:lncRNA from 1 species
GGCUCUAGGAGAUUGGCAUCAAGGUUGAAGAAAGAGGUUGGCCCGUACCUGAGCACGUUCAUGAGGUUAUUAUCUUUUGGGUAAUUUCGAUCCUUUUCAAAAAAUUUGUGCUUAUUUUCAACUUAUCUUUUAAGAAGUGUGUAAAAUUUGAGUUAAGAUCAACGGUUCAUUCAUUAGUUAUUGAGGUUUAAUUUUGUUGUAGAAAUUACUAGGAUUUGGUUAGGAUUUGAUUUAGGAUUAGGAUUUGGUUAAGGUUUGAUUUAGAAUUAGGAUUUGAUUAGGAUUUGGUUUAGGAUUUAGGAUUAGGAUUUAAGGUUUAGUUAGGAUUUUAUUUAGGCUUUAAGAUUUGGUUUAGGAUUUAAGGUUUGAUUUAGGGUUUAAGAUUUGGUUAGAAUUUGAUCAGGAUUUGAUUUAAGAUUUACGGUUUUAUUCGAUUUUAUUUAGGAUUUAAGAUUUAGUUAGUUUUUGGCCUAAAGUUUGAAUGAAGUAGAUUUUAAAUAGGAUUAAAUUAAGAUUGAAUUGAGAUGUAUUUGAAAUAUGUUUGUAAUCAUUCUAAUAUUUCUUUAAGAUUACUUAUUGUUUCUUUGGAAUUCCUUUGAGGUUUUUUUGAAUUUGAUUAAAGCUUGUUCAGCAUUGUUAGUGUUCUAUUAGAAUUAGGAUUUUGUUGUUACAAUUUCCAUUCUACCUUCUAUAGACAGGUGCUUAGAGCAUUCUCAAGUAAGACUU